rnacentral:rRNA from 1 species
UACGGGGGGAGCAAGCGUUGUUCGGAUUUACUGGGCGUAAAGGGCGCGUAGGCGGCCACCGCAAGUCAAUUGUGAAAUCUCCGGGCUUAACUCGGAAACGUCAACUGAUACUGCGGGGCUAGAGUGCAGAAGGGGCAACUGGAAUUCUCGGUGUAGCGGUGAAAUGCGUAGAUAUCGAGAGGAACACCUGCGGCGAAGGCGGGUUGCUGGGCUGACACUGACGCUGAGGCGCGAAAGCUAGGGGAGCGAACGGG